GAUGAACGCUGGCGGCGUGCCUAAUACAUGCAAGUCGAGCGAACGGACGAGAAGCUUGCUUCUCUGAUGUUAGCGGCGGACGGGUGAGUAACACGUGGAUAACCUCCCUAUAAGACUGGGAUAACUUCGGGAAACCGUAGCUAAUACCGGAUAAUAUUUUGAACCGCAUGGUUCAAAAGUGAAAGACGGUCUUGCUGUCACUUAUAGAUGGAUCCGCGCUGCAUUAGCUAGUUGGUACGGUAACGGCUUACCAAGGCAACGAUGCAUAGCCGACCUGAGAGGGUGAUCGGCCACACGGGAACUGAGACACGGUCCAGACUCCUACGGGAGGCAGCAGUAGGGAAUCUUCCGCAAUGGGCGAAAGCCUGACGGAGCAACGCCGCGUGAGUGAUGAAGGUCUUCGGAUCGUAAAACUCUGUUAUUAGGGAAGAACAUAUGUGUAAGUAACUGUGCACAUCUUGACGGUACCUAAUCAGAAAGCCACGGCUAACUACGUG
rnacentral:rRNA from 1 species